CAGUACUGACAUGUGUCAAAUCUCCAGAUGUUAUGACAUCUGUGUAGCAGGGACACAACACCACGCGAAGGUAUUUUUAGAGGUGCAAUUGCCGAUAAAUGAUAUGACAAUUAUCACUUUACAUUUGAAGGUCUUUCGUGUAUAUAUAUGAAUGUUUUCUUUAUGUGAUAGAAAAUGGCUCUUUAUUGCCCAUUAUUGACAGGAGAGCUAAUUGCCUGUGGGCCGUUCUCCCCUCUCUUCACAGGAUGUCUAUAAAAUCUGAGCUGAAAAGAGAGAAAAAAUCGUAUUAACUGGAACCUCUGGGAUUUGUUUUAGUUCGGCUGUUAAAGACCAACACGCUCUGUUUAUCGAGGUGUUGUGACGAGCUAAUUGCUUUCUGCCCGUGGCAAAGAUUAUUUGAGAAAAUGAGAAUAGGCUUUGAAACACUCCUCCUGCUCCCUGGUGACGUUCUGUUGAUGUUUUGUUUUAAGUCUGGGUGCUGUGUGAGCAUGUCAGGACUUGUUUAGGACUUGCCACCAGGGCUCACCCUCUGCUCUACUCUAACCUUGAUCAUAUUAAUCACUUAUAUAAGUGUCACAUGCAUGCACACACACGCACACACACACACAUCAUGAAACCCCAGGUUUCCUCUGGGAUAACAGGCUUUCCAAGAAAAACCUCCGGAUCGGGCAGUGACCAGGUGCUAGUCACCCAAACUGCAAGGUGACCAUCGUGAUGUGCAAGAGCAGGUCAAACAACGAUGAAACCAGGAGGUGGUGGCCCACUGGAAAGCAGAGUGUGGCCUGGCCAUAGACUAGACUCUCCUGCUGACCCUGCAUUCUGCUCACACCCUGGAUACGCUGGGCAGCAGGACCGCCAGGAAACAGCUAACACACACCUAAUUAGCAGAACAAACCAUGUAAUUGUCUCCCAAAUUGUCUCCCAAACUGUUAUGUGACAGUUUUAAAUAUACUGGUAUAUAUGAACUGGUGCCCCGUGUAUAUAGACAAGACUCAUUAUGUAUUAUAACUUUUAUUAUUACAUUUUGUACUUUUCUAUUAUUUCUCUAUUUUCUUUCUCUCUGCAUUGUUGGGAAGGUCCCGUAACUAAGUAUUUCACUGUUAGUUCACACCUGUUGUUUAUGAAGCAUGUGACGAAUCAAUUUGUUAUUUCAUUGAUUUGAUACUAAAUGUAAUAUUGCCUGUUUGAAACAGACCCCCUCGGUAUGUAAAUGUGUGUCUGAAACCGUCAGAAGAUGUCAAUGAAUUGUGAAUAUGAAUUACAGCCUUCUGCUUCCUGCUUGGAAAGGUCAGGCUCCCUCGUGUCACUUGUUUAGUUGGCACCGGCAUAAACAGAUGCUUUCAUAUCUGUCACACACACACGCAGGCACGUACCAACGCAUGCACUCUCAUACACACACACACUAGGUUGUAUUCCCAGCUAGCCAAUCCCUAUCUGAACUCGAAACCAAACCACAGAGCAAGUCAAAGGAGUCAUCCACAGUAUCUUUAUAAUGGGACUCUAUAAUGUGAUUGACAUGUUAUCAGCCUCUGAUGGCAUGAGAGCUGCACUGAGGUACCCUGACAGGAAAGGUGAUGAUAAGGUGAAUGGAGGAUAGAGGAGAUGGAUGGAUGAUGGACCCGAGGGUAGAUGAGUACAUGGUUGCAUCCCAAAAUGGCACCCUAUUCCGUACAUGGUGUACUACUUUUGACCAGAGCCCUAUGGGUCCAGAUCAAAAGUAGUGCACUAUGUAGGGAAUAGGAUGCCAUUUGGGGUGCGCGCCGUGAGGUGAGUGAGGGAGCAAUGGAUGGGAAUGGGCGGCCAACGUCUGAUCUAAUACGGGAGAGAAGGGAGACAACAGAGAGGGGGUAUGUGUCAGAAGAAUUAUGACAGCGUGACCGGUGUCUGAGGUCAGACGGACUGAGGAGACACUGCAGGAAUACAGAACAGAUCAGCUUUCCCCUCGGUAGUCGCUCACAUCUCCUAUCAUAUCACAUCUCACUGCCAUGAUACUGUAGGGUUGGACAAAUAGUAGCUCUGGUCCAGGGGUUACGUGCAGUUUGCUGACACUGAGAAGGCUCAGCUUCAGUAAUCUGCAUGUAACGCCAUGGAUCAGAGCUAGACAAAUAAUGUAGUAGUUAUUCUACUAAUGCGAUCAAGGCAAUGGAAUGCUAGGAAACACAUGGGCCUUUCCCGGUGAUAAGGUUUCAGUACCACGUACAAGUCAUCAGGAGUUGAGAUAACUUGGAAUGGCUGUGCAAAUGGAACAGGAGUCUAACCUGAAGCCUAUUCACCACUGUGUGCGCGUGCGCAUUUGAGUGUAAAGUCCAAGUGUGUGACUAUGUUUUUCUGUCACAACUAUCCCGCCACUCCAAUGCUUGUGUUCUAUCAGACCCACGGCGUGGGAGAUUUACCCACAAUGCUGAGUCCUGCGGGGCUGCAAGUAACGCUCCGCUAGCGCUCGGCUCCACACCUGAUGUCCUGCUGGUAGCUGUCACAGUAGCACACACACACCACCGUCAGUGUAAGGAGUUGUGACAGAAGUGGUGUUCUGGAAUACCUUGUUUGCAGGACACCACUCAGCCCCGGGGAUGUUUCUGAGAAACGGGAGACGUCCUCCAGGAACAAAUACAUCCCAACGGGGGGGAUGAUCAAAGCCCUAGACAACACUGAACGGUCCACCCAGCCAGGGUCAUCCUGAGACCUGUGGCCCGCCUGGGUUGCUUCCCAGNNNNNNNNNNGCAGAGCAGUUGACAUAAGGUUCUCUUUCAGUCAUUGAAGAUGAUGUAGAAUGCUGUCUGUCUUUGUAUUUCAGUGAUCCACAGUUAACUGCAAGGCUAAGAUGUGGCCAGGAUUUGCACAUGAAAGAGAGAGAGAGAGCAAGACGGCAAGUUAGAAGGAUAUAAAUUCUAACCUCCCCACAGUUCACAUUAUCCCAAUUUCUCCUCAGUACCAAACUUGCGUCCUAAAUGGCACCCUAUUCCCUCUAUAGUGCACUACUUUUGAUCAGAGUCCUAUAGGUCCUGGCCAAAAGUAGUGCACUAGCCUAUAUAGGUAAUAGUGUGCCAUUUGAGAAUUAGACCAUGCUGCUUGUUCUUCUCCAGGUGGUCUGUU
rnacentral:lncRNA from 13 species